rnacentral:rRNA from 1 species
UACGAAGGGUGCAAGCGUUGUUCGGAUUUAUUGGGCGUAAAGCGUGCGCAGGCGGGUUCGCAAGUCAGGUGUGAAAUCUCGAGGCUUAACCUCGAAAUUGCGCCUGAAACUGCAAGUCUAGAAUGUCGGAGAGGGAAGGGGAAUAUCUCAUGUAGGGGUAAAAUCCGUGGAGAUGAGAUGGAACACCAGAGGCGAAGGCGCCUUCCUGGACGAUUAUUGACGCUGAGGCACGAAAGCGUGGGGAGCAAACAGG